CCUACGGGGGCAGCAGUGAGGAAUAUUGGUCAAUGGACGAGAGCCUGAACCAGCCAAGUAGCGUGAAGGAUGACUGCCCUACGGGUUGUAAACUUCUUUUAUAAAGGAAUAAAGUGAGGCACGUGUGCCCUUUUGUAUGUACUUUAUGAAUAAGGGUCGGCUAACUCCGUGCCAGCAGCCGCGGUAAUACGGAGGGUCCGCGCGUUAUCCGGGUUUAUUGGGUUUAAAGGGAGCGUAGAUGGGUUGUUAAGUCAGUUGUGAAAGUUUGCGGCUCAACCGUAAAAUGGCAAUUGAUACUGGCAGUCUUGAGUACAGUUGAGGUAGGCGGAAUUCGUGGUGUAGCGGUGAAAUGCUUAGAUAUCACGAAGAACUCCGAUUGCGAAGGCAGCUUACUAAACUGCCACUGACAUUGAUGCUCGAAAGUGUGGGUAUCAAACAGGAUUAGAUACCCUUGUAGUC
rnacentral:rRNA from 1 species